UCACUUACGGGCUCAUUGUUAAAACCGUGUUUAUGGAAGACAAUCUUACUCGGCUACGAGUGAUCGCCAAAGAAGAAGAAGAAGGAAGACAUAUCAAGGACAAUCUGGGGUGAGGAUGAGAGCACUAUUAAAGGAUUAGAAAUGGUGCAAAACCAAUUUCUCAAGAGACUGUUUUCCGCACCCAAGGGAACAGCAUCCGAACUCUUACACAUGGAAUGUGGAUGGUCAACAUUAACUGCAAGAGCUAUUUGCACCUGGUUUAAUUAGCUGAAAAUACUUGUUAUGCGGAAUUGGUGAACAGCCGGUAGUGGAAAUCUAACACACAAUAUUAUUUGAACUCUUUAUUAUUUCCCUAAGAUAGAGGAGAUUAUAUCUACAGACAAAUGUCAUCUAAGGGAUUGGUGCCACUGGACAGAAUCACUACAUGAUCUGCAAGCGAUUAAAUUCUCUAAAUGCUCUCCUUGGUUCCCUCUUCUAAAAACAGUCCAUUUUAGAGCCAGUUACCUGUCAAAUCUCUGGCCAGCCUCACUUAGAUUUGCUUUUGCUUAGCUGCAUUUUCAAGUUAUGCCCUCCACUGUCCUGGACAGAUAAUAUAACAGGGUACCGUACGAAGAUAAGACUCUGAAUAUGUGGGCAUCUGCAGGUGGAAGACAUCUUGCACUAUUUACUAUAUUACUAUUUACUAUACCUUGGACCCAGGAGGCAAUUUCUCACCUUACAGGAAAUUUGUCUCCCCCCAACAGAGAAGAAAAGAUCAGAAAGAAGACCCUGGACAAUAUAGCACUGAACUGUAAGGGAGACACAGAGAUCUAAAGAGAGACCAUUAUUUGUGGCACGACACCCCUUUUGCUUGUAUUUAUUUUUUAAUCAGAUUUGCCAUGGCCAAUGGCUAGUACAACAACAUUUGGACAGGACAUACCGAGGACAAAAAUGCCUAUUGUUUCCCAUCCUUGGAUGAUGUGGCAUGUCAGGUGAGGUAGGAAAAGGCCCGCCCAUUGGUCUCUCUAGCAACCUCUUAGGGCAUGCAAAUAGCAACCCAGGCCAGUACCAUAAGCAAGGGACUGGUUUGACUGGUUUAGCAGGUUUCCUCUCAUGAAAUCUAACCCCACAUACACAGGAUCUCAGGUUUGGAAGGGACCCACAGGUGCAAUCCAGACUGACACCCACAAACCUGUAACAAUAUGCUACUCUGAUUAGCAAAACAAGUUGCUGUUGUUUUAUUCCAAAAAACUGAAACAUUUUCAACACACAAAAAUAAACCUUUAUUAAUCACA